rnacentral:tRNA from 1 species
GCUUUUUUAGUAUAAUUCUAGUACGUUUACCUUCCAAGUAAAGAGUUUAUUUAUAAAGAAAGUA